ensembl:lncRNA
CAAAAUUUAAAAUUGUUCCAAUUUUUCCAAUGUUGACUACAUUUUUGUUGUGAUUUUUAAGCUAUAAAAUUGUUUCCUAAAAAAAACUGGAUCAUGAAAAUUAUAGCAUGGUGCUUUUGUUCUGUUGAUGUCUUAAGCACAUACUCUAUCUGUCCCCAGGGUAGUUCAACAAAGGCCCUCUGGGAGCAGUUUCUUACUCUUCAUCCCAUUUGAGAUACAUCCUCACCUUCUCUCUCAUCCCUUUUACAUUUGGAAAAGAACCUGGAAAAUUGAUCAUUUGACACCUUGGAGAUUUUACCUGGAGGAAAAUAAUUUCUUGAAGCCUCUUGUGCCUGUGAGAGCCAAAUGCUAUUUUGCAGCUGUAAUGUUGAUAAUGUAUACACAUUCUCCCCAGAGCAAUGGAUUCUUUAACCUUAAUAUUGAGACUGGAAUGAGAUUCUGUCCUCUAGAGGUCACCAAUGCACCAGAUUUGAAGGCCAUGGAGGCUUCCAAAAUGCUCAGGAAGCAUCAUGUGUCCUGUUCACGUUUGAAUGAGAGAGAAAAUAAGGCAAGUAAAUUAUCCUAAUGGUUACUUUCCAGCUAGUCUCUGAAGAAGUGGGAAAUCUGGUUUUAAAUAAGGCGUUUUAAAAUGGAUUUAUCUUGGCUUUUCUCUGCACUGAUCUAGCUGGAGGAAACUUCCAUAUGGUUAAUACUUCUUAACAGAUAGCUUACUUUUGAUGGUGAGAGAAGAAACUUUUCUAAAUAGGAGAAAAACUGAUGUAGAAACAGGUGAUUUUAGCCUCCAUUAAAUGAGUGUUACUUUCGCUGGUGCUCUGACCAGGGCAGAAGAUCUGUCUGAGCCUCCUCAGCACGCCGUCUUCAAAGGGCAUGGGGACACGGAGGCAGGGAAACAUGGCCCUGUAAUUCACUGUUAUAUGAUUUUUGAGUUGCUUUAUGAGGAGAGACGCCAUCCAAAGUACUUAUAUCUCUACAGACAAAUCAGAAACUGCACAUAAAGGGAUCACCUCGAUAGUCACAAUAUGCCUUUACUUUGGGAGAAUAAUCAGUCAAGAUCCAAGAAAUUGGCAGUCUCCUUCUGGGACUAGUGGGACCUAAAAGAAAGUCUUAAUUGGACUUUGCUUUAGUUACCCUGAUGCGUUAAUCUUGUGUGAAGCUAGUUAUCUCCCUUUUUUUUUUUUUAAUUUUCACAAUCAUCUUUUAUUAUUUCCUUUUAAAAAUCCUUCUUAGAAAAAUGUAUCUUCUUAUACUCAUAUAUGAAACCUUUCCUUAAGUUUCCUUUCAUAUGGUAUUAGCACACUUUGAAGCAAUUUCUUCUAGAGUAAGAAAUUUCUUAUUGUUAAUGUAAUAUGUCUCCCUUAAAGAGAACUAGCUAGGAGAACAGUGCUCCAUGUGGGCAGCUGGACUGAGCAAGGGGAGUAAACUCUGCGCUGCCCAGGGUUCGGGAGGUGCUAUGGCCUAGCCUGCUGCCCGUGGCCUGCACUGUUCAAGGUGUGACCUGAGAGUCACCACCAGCGGUUCCCAGCAUUGUUCCUGCUACUCUGGUUGCUCUCCAAGGAGAGGAAUUCCUACACUAUGACUUUCCCAGGGUCCAGUCACUUGCCAGCACCUGACCCAUCAGGAAAUCGCCUCUCCCGUCUUCCUUCCCCCAUUCCUUCCUGAGCAUUCCCCAGUCCAGGGUGUGGGCAACCCUCAAAAGAUCUGCUGGGAUUGAUUGACAAGAAAACAAAACUUUUCUCUAGAUAAGAAAGAUUGCAGUGCUAUAGGAAAUCUAUUUGCUUCUGGGUGGCGCUUGUCUGCCCUCUCUCUCAUUCUAACACUUUUAACUGCUGACUGUGUAGUUUCUUAUCAUUUCUUCAGGAUGUGUGGGGCAGUCAAUCUUCAAUCAAUGAGCUUUGUUUGGGUAACUCAUUUUAUGGCCAAUUCACAAGGAAGCAAAACACUUUGUCCUAUAGAGUUAGUGGUGUCCUUUCUCAGGGUUAUUAGACAUUUUCUUUAGCACUAAGAAAGAACAGAGGCAAAUUUUCAUUUCUGAGCUGUUUCCUUUAGCUGAGAGGCGCUCUAAAAGCUGCUGGUACUACAGAGAUGUGAGUUCAGCAAAGGAUGGUACUCGUCAUCUAUUCUGGAGAAUCCUGUAAUGAGGAUAAUAUGUUAGGUGGGUGGCAGUGUGUUGUGCAAUGUGCUUAGCUAGGUUGAGAAUCGUGUCCCUGACUUCUUGUCAAUGUGGGGCUGACAGAAAGCUUUCUGGGGACUCUGUGGUUUGAUCUUGGUUACCAGUUGUGUGACUGUAAGUAAGGCUCUCUUAUGCCUCAUUUCUCUUAUCUGUAAAAUAAAAGGGUUGGACAUCAUUUUCUCUAAGGUCCAUUUUGAAGCCAGCACCCACUCUGAGAAAUUAAGGAUGCUCAGUCCAGGGCAGCUGCACUGUAGCAAGUGUAUUGGCCUCUUAAGGCUGCCAUAACAGUGUACCCAAACCUGAAUGGCUUACAGGUAAUUCAUUUUCUUACAGUUCUAGAGGCUGGAAGUCUGAAAUCAAGGUGCAAGCAGGGUGCAGGUGUCUCCAGUAGCUCUAGGGAGAAUCCUUCGUGGCUUCUGCCUCUUGGUGUUUGCUGGCGAUUCUGGCAUCCCUUGGCCAGCAGAUGCAUCCCUCCAGUCCUAUCUUCUUCUCCCUGUGUGACUUCACAUGGUCUUCCCUCUGUGCAUGUCUGUCUCUGUGUCAAAAUUUCUACUUUUUAUAAAAACGCAGUCACAUUGGAUAUAAAAACACAGUUACAUUGGAUAGGACCCACCAUAGUGACCUCACUUUAACAUGAUUAAUUCUGUAAAAACUAUUUCCAAAUAAGGUCACAUCUUGAGGUACUGGGGAGUGAGACUUCAGUAUAUCUUUUUGCGGGGAUUUAGUUUAAACCAUAACAGUAAGCACAUAGCAAAUCCCUCUGUGCUGGAUGUGACCUCUUUGACCUCUAGGUACGUUGUCCAUGUUAUUCUGUGCCCUGGCCUCUAGACAUUAUGCCAAGAGAUCCCCUUGUCCUCCAGUUUUCAGCUGGGUUUAGCAAUGACAGGCAAUAUGGUGGAAGAGGAGAGCUGGGUGG